rnacentral:rRNA from 1 species
UACGUAGGGUGCAAGCGUUGUCCGGAAUUAUUGGGCGUAAAGAGCUCGUAGGCGGUCUGUCGCGUCGGCUGUGAAAACCCGGGGCUCAACCCCGGGCCUGCAGUCGAUACGGGCAGACUAGAGUUCGGUAGGGGAGACUGGAAUUCCUGGUGUAGCGGUGAAAUGCGCAGAUAUCAGGAGGAACACCGGUGGCGAAGGCGGGUCUCUGGGCCGAAACUGACGCUGAGGAGCGAAAGCGUGGGGAGCGAACAGG